rnacentral:rRNA from 1 species
AUGUCCAUAUCAUUUUGAAACACCAGUUCCUGUACGAUCACCAAAGUUAAGCAACAUCAAGCCUGGUCAGUACCUAGAUGGGUGACCACUUGGGAAUACCAGGU